AGAUAUGUAAACAUUACAUUAUUUAUUCCGGUUUUUAUUGAUUAUCUUCGUAAUUAUCUCAAUUAUUAUCAUCUAAUUUAUAUUCAUGAUCAACCCUUUAUUACUCAAAAUAUGAUCCCAAUUAUACUAACAACUAUCAUUUAAACAUUUGAUUGCUUUCACAGUAAAAAGAUGAUUAUAACUGUGGAUACCAAAAGAAAAUUUUAAUUGUUGAAGUGUUUAUACUAAUUUAUGAUACCGUUCAAAUUAAUCAUAUAAGUGAUGUAAUGUUAUCUUAUUCAUCUAUUUACAUAAUUCAUUCAAAGGAUCAUGCCAUUUGAAACUAUCAGUAAGUCAAAUAAGCGUUCAAAACAAGCCUCUUGUCAGCCUAUUUAAUAAUUAUCAACGGGAUUUAUGAAUGAACUGGACCAUUUUCACAUGCAAAAUUUCAAUAUCAUCUAUUGUUGGGAACUCAUCAUUCAUAAUGAACCUUAUCUACUCAUCUUGUGUGUUAUUUGACUCAAUAUGAUUAUUACCUUACAGUCAUUUAGUCUCUAUUUUUUGCGUUUCACUUGACACUGUUCACCGAGCCAACAACUGAUUGUUAAGGUGUUCAAAAAUUAAUACUUAAAAUUACAAUUUAAAAGUCGACUAAACAACUAAGUAAGUUUAACAUCGUUUAACAGGCUCUAGCUUUUUCACUUGCACUACUGUAACGGACCCACUGUUCGAAGAUGGCGCCACCAAAAUCUCUUAAAAAAGGAGGUCUCGUCUCUUUCUUUGCGACUUUUCAGAGGUUUGACUUACAUUAAUGUUAUUAUUAAUAACAUGUUUUAAUUCAUUUUUUCCCCUAAUUUUCUUACCAGACUUUGGAUUUAAACAUUAUAUUUAACUAACCUUAAUGAUUGUUUUAAUCUUCCCAUAGUCACUGUCAAGGGUGAAAGUUACCUUGCCUUCUUUUUUAAUCUUACCUUUUGUAUUUCCUUUUCUCUUUCUUUCUUUCAUCUUUAUCUGUUACCUGUUCCUUUCCAAAUUCAUUUAGGUAAAGCAAAAGUAAAAAAGGAUAGGCUCAUGUGAACGUCAACAGAUCAUUAUUUAACUCAAAUCUAAAUUGGUCUGACUAAUUGUAAAUUGUUUGAUGGCAGUAAAAGAAAAGGAAGAAAAAUGAACCAACUAUGGAACAGAAUGAGAAAAAAAUAAGAUUAACUAACCAGUUAGCAAGUUAAGUAAUGAAACAUGGAGCCUUGAAAUCCUCGCGAACAAACAAUUUUAUCGAGUUGAAGAUCUUUCAUGGACCUGAAUUGUGUACUGGAUGUGGCUUGAAGUUCAACCUGUAUCCAUAAUUGAUUAAAAUUACUGUACAAUUGAACACUUGGACAACAUUUAGAUAAGGAUUGGACUCUUAUUCUGGCUAAUUUGAUAAACAUGCCUGUCAUUUGAUAAUUAAAACUCAAAUCAAGUGGACAUUUAUUGUGAACAAGCAAAAAUCCUGUUACUCGUCAUCAUACCUGUUAAGUAGUGCUGUUUGUCAAGGUGGCAACCUCAGUGGUGGGAAAAGUUUUUGCUGUUGUUAUUCAACUUACCAACAACCGUUUAUGACAAUUGAGCCAAAUGAUGUUUAAUUGUACUUCAUUUGACAUCGUUAAGGAAUUCCUGUCUCAACAAGGAAAGAGGCGGAGGUGAUGAUGAUGAUGAUGAUAACUCUUAUCAUUAUUAUGAUAAUGAUACGGAUAACGUAAUAAUAUGGAUAAAGAAGUUACGUGAACAUCUAUGUGACGAGAUGAGAAAGGGAAUUAUAAAAGACGCUUUUGAUGAUAGAAAUAAUCUAACCUCAAAGCUCAAUAAUAAUUAUGAUAAUUAUAAUUGUGACAAUUAAUGGACAGAAUUGUAUAUUUCAUUCAUUAAUUCUUUACUCUUUCCCUUUUUAUCUUAUUCUUUGUUCACCAUCAAACAAUCAUUUCACUUGAGAGUUUAACCAAUCAAAUGAUUAUAAUAACUUGACAAAGAAAUGAAUUCCAUUGACUCCUAAUUUUCACUUCUAACAACCUUUACUGGUCUACCUUCACAAUUGAAUCAAUUUAACAAAUUAACCUUUCUUUUCAUCUCUUGUGAUUCUCACUAAUUCAACAUUUCAAUAAGCUUCACCAAAACUUAUCUGAUUCAAUUUGUUCCUCAUUUUUCCCUCAUCUUUUCCCAACAUCAUACCUUGUUAAAGCUAACAUUUAGACAACAAUUGAAACUGAUUACACAGUUAAAUUGUUAAUUAAUUAACCAACUUAUAGAUACAAGUUAACAUUACUUCAAUCCACCGGCAAGUUGACUUAAAAUCAACUUUACCUUUUGUGAAUUGACUUUGCGUGAUCAACUAUAAUGAUACUUUUUAGUCUAUUUUAAUUAUUGCAUGUUAAUUAUAUUUAAUUGACAUGCACUUUUAAUUGAAUUAAAGUAGUUUCCUAACAAAGAGCUUAUAAGAAAAUAGUGACUUUGAAAAGAAGAAACAAAUUUGACAAAAUUCGUAAAUUAAUGACUAAAGGCUACUGCGAUCAUGAAUGAUCGCACUUAAUGAAGACACAUUUGAUGAAGACUUAAAUUUUCAAUGAAAAACCGUCGAUGAGAAAAACCAAGAGAAAAUAAAACCUGGUUUUUCAACUGAACAAAAUGCAAUCGAAGUUUGAAACUUGUAAGCGAUUCUAUCGAAUACUUGCGAGCACAAAUGGCUCCAAUUUCAUCUCGAUAUUGAGGAAUAACUGAAACCGGAGCUUCUCUGAAAAAAAUUAAGUCAAUUGAUUCCAGAUGAGAGACUAAAGAUUUGGGAAAACAGUUUUGCUUAUUAGCUAAUUGCUACCGAUUUGUAGAUGAUGAUAAUUAUGAUCAACAUUGCUAAAUGAUUGCCGUUUCAUUGGGAUUAUUGUUAUUUCAUCAAUAAUCAGUUUUUAAAUGGUUUACACUAUAAUUAAGGUGAAAAGAGUACAAAAAAAGGAAUCAUCAAUAUUAUAUCCACUAAAAGGCAAAGGUACUAAGAAUUAGCAAAAUAACCACAAAAAUGAUAACAACACCAAUCAAGAAAAGAUAAUUUAUUCAGCUAUCAUUUACCAAUGUUCACACUGGACGAUUGGAAACUAAAGAAGCAAGAAAUGAUAAUUCAAGACACUGGAAAUUAUGUGAUUACAUGAAAGAAGAAGACACGAAAGAAAAGAUAAAAAUGAAGAAGAAGAUGAAGGAAAAUGGCCUUAAAAAGGAAAAUAGACAAACAAUUAUGGAGUAAUUUACUUUGAUAAAUUCAAGAUGGAAAUCUAAUGUGAGAUGGAGAACAACAAAUUGUACCAUUUAAUUGAUGACUUGACUCUUUCAACUGGCAGCUGAAUUGUUCAUUAUGUUCAUUACAAUGUACAAUUUAUCGUGAUUUAAAACAUGGUUAACAACAAUUGUACAACAAAACUGAUGAAGAUAAUGAAGAAGAAGAAGAAGAAGUUAUUUGGUUUAA